rnacentral:rRNA from 1 species
UUCCAGACUCCUACGGGAGGCAGCAGUGGGGAAUAUUGCACAAUGGGGGGAACCCUGAUGCAGCGACGCCGCGUGGGUGAAGGAGCGUUUCGGCGCGUAAAGCCCUAUCGGCAGGGAAGAAGGAGGACGGUACCUGACUAAGAAGCCCCGGCUAACUACGUGCCAGCAGCCGCGGUAAUACGUAGGGGGCAAGCGUUAUCCGGAUUUACUGGGUGUAAAGGGAGCGUAGACGGCGGUGCAAGCCAGAUGUGAAAGCCCGGGGCUCAACCCCGGGACUGCCCUUGGAACUGCAUGGCUGGAGUGCGGGAGGGGCAGGCGGAAUUCCUGGUGUAGCGGUGAAAUGCGUAGAUAUCAGGAGGAACACCGGCGGCGAAGGCGGCCUGCUGGACCGCUACUGACGUUGAGGCUCGAAAGCGUGGGGAGCGAACAGGAUUAGAUACCCCGGUAUU